GGAUUUAUUGGGUUUAAAGGGUGCGUAGGCGGUUUAUUAAGUCAGUGGUGAAAGACGGUCGCUCAACGAUUGCAGUGCCAUUGAUACUGGUAGACUUGAGUGUGAUUGAGGUAGCUGGAAUGGAUAGUGUAGCGGUGAAAUGCAUAGAUAUUAUCCAGAACACCAAUUGCGAAGGCAGGUUACUAAGUCACAACUGACGCUGAUGCACGAAAGUGUGGGUAUCAAACAGGAUUAGAUACCCUGGUAGUCCACACUGUAAACGAUGAUAACUAACUGUUGGCAUUCGUGUCAGUGGUACAGAGAAAUCGUUAAGUUAUCCACCUGGGGAGUACGCCGGCAACGGUGAAACUCAAAGGAAUUGACGGGGGCCCGCACAAGCGGUAAUCG
rnacentral:rRNA from 1 species